GGUGAACGCUGGCGGCGUGCCUAAUACAUGCAAGUCGAGCGAACAGAUAAGGAGCUUGCUCCUUUGACGUUAGCGGCGGACGGGUGAGUAACACGUGGGUAACCUACCUAUAAGACUGGGAUAACUUCGGGAAACCGGAGCUAAUACCGGAUAACAUUUGGAACCGCAUGGUUCUAAAGUGAAAGAUGGUUUUGCUAUCACUUAUAGAUGGACCCGCGCCGUAUUAGCUAGUUGGUAAGGUAACGGCUUACCAAGGCAACGAUACGUAGCCGACCUGAGAGGGUGAUCGGCCACACUGGAACUGAGACACGGUCCAGACUCCUACGGGAGGCAGCAGUAGGGAAUCUUCCGCAAUGGGCGAAAGCCUGACGGAGCAACGCCGCGUGAGUGAUGAAGGGUUUCGGCUCGUAAAACUCUGUUAUUAGGGAAGAACAAACGUGUAAGUAACUGUGCACGUCUUGACGGUACCUAAUCAGAAAGCCACGGCUAACUACGUG
rnacentral:rRNA from 1 species